rnacentral:tRNA from 1 species
AAAGUUCUGGUUUGAAAUCGGAAAAUUCUGGUUUGAAACCGGAAAAUUCUGGUUUGAACCUUGAAAAUUCUGGUUUGAAACCGGAAAAUUCUG